rnacentral:rRNA from 1 species
CCUACGGGAGGCAGCAGUGGGGAAUUUUGGACAAUGGGCGCAAGCCUGAUCCAGCAAUGCCGCGUGCAGGAUGAAGGCCUUCGGGUUGUAAACUGCUUUUGUACGGAACGAAACGGUCCUUUCUAAUACAAGGGGCUAAUGACGGUACCGUAAGAAUAAGCACCGGCUAACUACGUGCCAGCAGCCGCGGUAAUACGUAGGGUGCGAGCGUUAAUCGGAAUUACUGGGCGUAAAGCGUGCGCAGGCGGUUAUAUAAGACAGAUGUGAAAUCCCCGGGCUCAACCUGGGACCUGCAUUUGUGACUGUAUAGCUAGAGUACGGUAGAGGGGGAUGGAAUUCCGCGUGUAGCAGUGAAAUGCGUAGAUAUGCGGAGGAACACCGAUGGCGAAGGCAAUCCCCUGGACCUGUACUGACGCUCAUGCACGAAAGCGUGGGGAGCAAACAGGAUUAGAUACCCUGGUAGUCCACGCCCUAAACGAUGUCAACUGGUUGUUGGGUCUUCACUGACUCAGUAACGAAGCUAACGCGUGAAGUUGACCGCCUGGGGAGUACGGCCGCAAGGUUGAAACUUAAGGAAUUGACGG